AUGAACGCUGACAGAAUGCUUCACACAUGCAAGUCAACUUGAAUUUGGGUUUUUAACUUAGGUUUGGGUGGCGGACGGGUGAGUAACGCGUAAAGAACUUGCCUCACAGCUAGGGACAACAUUUGGAAACGAAUGCUAAUACCUAAUAUUAUGAUAAUAGGGCAUCCUAUAAUUAUGAAAGCUAUAAGCGCUGUGAGAGAGCUUUGCGUCCCAUUAGCUAGUUGGAGAGGUAACGGCUCACCAAGGCGAUGAUGGGUAGCCGGCCUGAGAGGGUGAUCGGCCACAAGGGGACUGAGACACGGCCCUUACUCCUACGGGAGGCAGCAGUGGGGAAUAUUGGACAAUGGACCAAGAGUCUGAUCCAGCAAUUCUGUGUGCACGAUGAAGUUUUUCGGAAUGUAAAGUGCUUUCAGUUGGGAAGAAAGAAAUGACGGUACCAACAGAAGAAGUGACGGCUAAAUACGUG
rnacentral:rRNA from 1 species